CUAAUAAUUUUAACGAGUAAAGUCCAAAAAUGUUAAUUUUAAAUAUAGGAAUUUAUUUUAAAAAUUAUUUAUAUGUAAAGUUAGUGAUUUUAAAUAUAUUUGAUAAGUUACUAGAAUGCCAUAUUGAUUUCUAUCUACAAUUCAUCCAAUGAACGAAGUCGCUGCUAUAUAUGGGGAACAGUUAAAUAAUAAUUUCAAAAUACUGAAUUGGUUAACGUUAAUUUUUCUCUGAUCGUCUACCGUAAUAGGAACGUGAUUGUUAUUUUGAAUAUGUUAUAGAACAUGUUAGAAUGGUCUCAAUCGUGUACAAACAAAAGGAUAUUCUACAAGCAAAUUUUCACGGAUGUCAAUUCAAUGGAACUCACAUAUACAUAGAGAUAAUUUUGCAGACAUCAUAUUUAUGUAAUUUUAAUAUCUCAUCAACUUUAAAUGUUUUUUCUGAAAUUUUAUUUUAUUCUAUUAAGAGAUUCGAACUGUUCGUAUAAAGUGGCGAGAUGACAAGUGAAGACUUCAAAAAUAUAACGAUGGAAAUGAUGCUGGAGAUUAUUCUUGCGACCACUAGUGAAAUAAUACUAAAAUACUUAGCAGUGUGCUUGGUAGAGUGGCGUGCAUGAUCUGAAGGAGAUUUCGCGUUGAUGUCAAGCUAUCAUUGAUAGUAACAUAAAAGUUGCAGUAUAAUAUUCAAAAUGAAUCCGAAAAAGUCUGAAACACAAAAGUGUGUACGAGAAAUUACCCUUCGACUGCAUAAAGAUGGGAAAUCAUAUAGUGAAAUAGCAAAAAUUGUAAACAAAAGUAAAUCUAUAUUAUAUCAUAAACAAAUCAAAAACUUGUUCAGAUCGAGCAAGAAAAUUAACUGAAAAAGAACAAAAAAUUAUUAUUCUCGAAGUAAAAAAAUUCUAUAUCUGUACCUAUACUUUCAAGUAUGAUAUUGGAAAUGUUUGACAAAGAUGUUCAUCCCCAAUUAUGUCGACGAAAUAUUAAUUUUCAUGAUAGAGUAACAAGAAAAAAGAAAAAUCAAAUCAAAAGAAGAGAUUUUUGUAACAAAGGUUAAUACAUCUUGGGAAUGUAUUUUCUGGUAUUUUUAACUCGGAUGGACGAAAGACCAAAUACGAAAUUGGACAUUCAAAAUAUACCGCUAUUGUGUUUAUAUAUAUCAACUUUUUCGCUACAAGCGUGUCGAGAAAGAUUGUCGGAGGCCUUUUACGCAUCAUUGCAACUCGAAUUAUUUUGAUGAUGUAUUGAAAAAAAACUUCUAACACACUCAUUUUUAAUUGUUUUAUGUAAUUAUCUAAUAACGUUACAAAAUAUAAUAAUGUAAUAUAAUUGUAUGAUAAUAAUAAUUGUUAAUAAUAAUAUUGCAUGUGACAUUGUUCGAAA